rnacentral:lncRNA from 1 species
AAUUGGAGAAUGGUAGUUCAUCCAUAGAUGUCACAUCAAUCUUCUUCAUCAUUUUUACCAGCGUUAUCUAAAUGCUGUAAUUGAUAUCAAAUUGCAAGACAGGAGGCCUGGCAAUAGAACCUUACAACUCAUCUCUCUUUAGAUGGCAUAUGGGGAAGACUGAUGACAGCUGGAUGCUGGAAAACCAUUGCACAGUGAUAUAAACAACUGAAAGGCUGAGUAAGAACCUAGAAGUGUGUUCCUAAGGAUCUUCAGGAAAGAACAUAGAGCAACCAACAAUGAUGUACAGUGACCUAUGAGGUCUCAUUCAAUUACAAAGCGAGUUAUAGGAAAAUCCAUCCCUUCGUUUACUCUGUCACCCACUAAUUCUCACAAUUACAUAUUGAGGGACUACUAGGUAACAAAAGUUUGGGCUAAAGAUUUCAGGAAUCACAGACAAGACUGUGCCUAAGUGGGGACAGGUAAAUAAAGCUUCCUAUCCCCAACGCCCUGCGCUCUGCACUAAUAGAGAUCCAGCUGCUGGGAGCAAUGAGAGCAGAGGUGAUGUUCGUGGGAUCAGUGCAACCCUGGAUUCUCUUGCCACCAGUCCUGUCUCCUGGGGAGCCAUUGAGUUAGUGGAAUCAGCAGUGGAAGAGAGGAUGAAAUGGUUGGCUAGGAUUCAGUUCCUGCAUUCUGAAGGCCAUCUGAAGGAGCUGCCAGCAUCAGCAGAGGCAGAAGGGAGAAGGUAUGCUGGCUCUUAAAGCUUCCGUGCAAGAUAAUUUCCCAUCACGUUUGCUCACAUUUCCUUGGCCAAAGCAAGUCAUAUGGCCAAGCAUGACUUCAAGAGGGAUAGGAAAAUAGAAUUAUCCUAUGGCUGGGGCAUUGGAUAUGGUGGAGUUGUGUGUCACCAUCUUCAGGCUGACUUCCCUUUCCCUUCAUGCGGAACAUCAUCUUUAAUAAAUCUUUUAAUUAGCAUCUAUAAGU